ensembl:lncRNA
GAGAAUUUCAUCAUCAAAGGUUCGCCGUCCCAUGAGAUAUUUGUUUUGUUUCCCAUUUUACUGACAGCGAGUCAUCACCUGCAGAGCAAAGAUGAGAUUUGCGUAGAGUUCAUCAAAGAGUACAUUGUGGAUUCAUACCGCUGGGAGUCUUCCUGUCAGACUUCAAGCUGGGUGUCGCCAUCACGACUGCGUCCACCUGAGUUAGGAUCCCAUUAUGAGCUUAAUGACACCCAGCAGAACAUCAGACGCGGAGGCAGCACGCACUCUCUGCAGCUGGACUACAGGGUGAUGGGCUACAACGCGGACAAAAGCCGUGAGAGGACACAGGAAACUGGGAGGAGGACCUUUCAGUGGGAGAGGAAUCAGUCUGGAGAGUGGGAGAGAAAACACACCCCGGACAGAAAAGAAAAGAGAAGGUACAAGGAGGAAGGAAGGAAUAUGAACAUUAGGACCAAGGACAUGGAGGGACACCAGGACCACGGAGAUCAGCAGCUGCAGGACCAAGACAGCUGUGACGACAGCUCCUCGCCCGUGUAUGAAGAGUACCAAGAGUCCAGACAUGAUCCGGAACAAAAUGAAGACACGGAGAGCCUUUAUGAUAUUCUACCCCCAACUCGGCGAGCCUAUGAAGGAUAUCCGUCCAGUCCCCCAGGGCUAAACCUGCACCCAGCUCAACUUAUGCCCCCCCUCAGGGCCUGGGACUUACAGACAGAGGAAUGGAGGGGAUCACGGGAAGACCAUGGAGGGCUUGGCUCUAAUAGUCUGGCAGGUUCUGGGGAUGAGUUAGAAAGACUACUGAACCUGGUGUCACUGAGAGCCAGGAGAGCCACACGAAUAAACAGAGCCUCUACCAGAUCUGAACCUGCAGCAGGCUGGGAUGGGCUGAAAUGAGCUCACGCUCAAAACAAAAAGAUUUUCUGUUCCUUUGCAAAUCACAGAGUGGCGGUGAUCCUCUCUGGUUACGGUUCACAUUUAUAAUCUACUCGAACACUGGUCCACCACCUAAAAAAAAAUAAUUGGACAAGAAUGUUAACAUACACACUUUUAUUAUCCGACAUUAUUAUCCUUGUGUAAACAAGCACUAAUCCACCACCAAUCCCCUGGCUCAUUUGUAAGCGGGAGGAAUAAGAGGAAAUAUAUGUGUCUCGUCACAGCUACACCUUGGCUGCCAUUGGCUCUGAAUCAGUGCUUUUACAUGUAUUAUUUAGAGUCACUGAAGAAGAACAUUUGGAGCUUGUUUUAGAUCGCGUACCCCUGUAUGUGCAAAUUUUCAAAUCAUGUAUUUCGUUCAUCGCUGUGUCAGAUCGCACAUGUACUGGCAGACAAUUAUUUUGUUAACUCAGCCGUGCAAUACUUAAUGCAUUUAUUAUUUUUUACUGACGCGCACUCAGGUUUGUUUUGCAGGGAGCUUUUCGCUCACAUCCCACACAGACACGAGAGUAUUAAGAUUACCUGAGGUUGAUUUUACACAAUCAUUUAAUUUUCCUUUGUGGAUUUAUUUAUUUAUUCAUAUUUGUAGCUUUGCUUAUGAGUCUCUUCAUGAGCACAUGUGUUAUAGUUACCUGGCCUGUGUAGAUAUGAUUAAAUACAGGACUAAGGAUAUAUUUUUUUAUUUACUGAAUCGGCUAUUCUAAGUGAGUAGAAGGACACAGAGCUACUUAUUAAAACACAUUAAUUUAAUCAAUAUGUACAUAAUGUAAUUUGAAUAUAUUGAAGCUUUAGCAGUGCUUCAGGCAGACUGAAGCCCGCUUUACACCUGGUGUUAAUAUGUGAAAUGAAUUUCGGGGCAUUAUGUGCAGAACGGCUUAGAGAAUUGUGUGGACAUGCAACCGUGAAGUACAGAAUCACUCACCCAGGACAUGUGCUCAUGGUUGGCUCGCUGAUAACGCAGUGUAAAUGCUGCUGCAUUCCCAGUUCACACACAACAAAGGGAAUGCAAAUGAAAAUAAACUCCACGUAACGAAGCUUCGAAACAGCGCUGUUCUCUGAGAAUAUUCCUAGUUGACUCCUAGUUGGCUAGGAGUAAUUAAAGAUAAACAUAUUCAUGGUAGCUGUUCGGGUCAUUUGUGGAUUUUUUUUAAAAAGACACACCGUGUGCACAAAAAUACACACACCUCUUCCCAUGCACAAACUGGUAUUUGUAAAGGAAGAAUGUGUGGACCGUGUUCGUACUCCAGACCGUGACAGACCAUCGUGAGGCAAGCCCGACAGAAUGGAGAGAAGAUGAAAAAUGAACCGAGACAGAAGUGAAGAAAAACAGCCAGUUUGGCUGAGCUUGCAUUCCCUGUUAUCAAUAUAUAUAUUUCCAGCUCAUAAACGCAUCAUCAAUAACUUAGCCUCUGCACACCACCACAGUGGAUUUUAAAUCAACCAGUCAACCUGUGAUUGAAGUGCAGACUUUAAGCUUUAGUUCAAGGGAUUUAACAAAAGUGUCCCAUUAAUAUUGUUUAGGAAUUACUGCCAUUUUAAUAGACAAUCGCCUAUAUAGUUGGGUGGUUGACUGACAAGCAGUUUUAUGACCAGAUGAGACCUGUUUCCUGUUCAUUUUAUUAUAAAUUAAGGAGGUAAAAAAAGAAACACGAGCAGCUUUCAGUUCUAGAUCUUUUAUCUCCCUGAAGAUGUUCUGUCAGAUCUUCAAAGAGUCACUGUGAUGGUGUACAGAAGCAAACAGUGAAACAAUGUCCAAAUACUUAUGAACCUACAGUAACUGUAUAUGUACCAUUUACAAAUUUCAACUUGAUCAGACCUUUCCAUGUUCUGCUUGUUCUUUCUCAUCUUCUUCAUCAUCUUCCUCUUAUUAUUGUUAUUUUUUUCGGUGUAAUAAUUGUGGGUGCUAGCUGUAUAUGAUGGCCUGCUUUCCUCCUGUGAUCUGAUGUACUUGUUGCCUCUUGUUUGCAGUCUCCGUUUUUUUUUUUCUGUCUUAUUUUGUUUUUACUUCUGCCAGGAUCCUCUGCCCUGAACUUCCAGAGGUGAAAGCUUUUUUUCUCCCAUCACUAGUUUCUCUUAUGUUCAUGAUUCCAGAACUGAGAUCACCAAAUACACAUUUUAAUUAGUCCACGACUCAUAUUAGUGUCUCAGUCUCAGAUUUGAGGAAAUUGCACUUCUUCUUUGCUGUGUUUUUUUUUUUAUCAUUGUCAUGUCUAAUCACUGCUUGAUUUAUAUGCAAAUGAGGAAUAAGGGAGGAUUUACAUCAUUCAUUAUGAAAGCUCUAAGUGGAAAUCAUGCACAUGUGUAAAGUUUCGCUUUGAUUGAGAUUUAUAAAAGAGCACCAUGCGUAGGCACGGGUUUCCAAAUAUGAGUAGAGGAAUACAGAUUCACUCGUAAAUUUGCAUAAACUUUUAUGCAUCUGGCUCAUGUCAGAACUAAAAGCCACCUUCAUGUCACAGUUACUACGCUCAUCAUCUCAUCUGGUAAACAUGCCUUUGAGAAAAUGCUCAGCAAACAAUAUAUGUACAUCAAAUUGAAAGACAGAGUAGAUGCUACAAAGUAAAUACAAGCCGUCUAUGUCUCUAAGUAUGUAGUGAGAAUCCAAGGCCGCACUUUUGUGUUAAAUUAGCGCAUUUGUUGUUGCAAAAGUGGUUUUCAUUGACAGAGUUGAAAGAUACUGUGCCGAUGGACUCUUUGGAAAUACCGUAACAUCCAGCAGUAACAGACACAUACCAGUUGACAUGUCUUAUUGUGAUCAGGUUUAGUUUCACCUAAUGUAUUUUGUGUCUUAUAAUAGCAUCGUCCAUCUAUUCAUCCUCUCUAUCCAAUUCCUAUUCAGAUGUACUCUGUAUUUGGGGGGCUGAAGCGUGCCACAGCUUGCACAAAGAAACAUACCGGACAGGUCAGACUACAACAUGGAUAAACACAUUCACACCUGUGGGCACUUUACAGUUUCCAGUUCACCGGGCCUGCAUGUCUGCAGACUGUGGAAGAAAGCUGAGGCACCUAAAGGAAACCCACAGGAAUACCGUGAGAGCAUUCAAACUCAAUACAACAGCUUCCACAGGCAGAGGUUUGCAACCCAGAACCUCAGUGCUGUGAAUCAACGCUGCCAGCAACUGAGACAUCUUUGCUGUCAUCUUUUUAUUCUUUAUUGCCAUCCACUGCAGUUGAAUCAUCUCGCAAACUACCAUUCAUUCCUACAGGAUCAUAAGUUAUUUCAGGUCACUCACAUGCUGAAGCGCAGCGCUGCAUGGGUGUUUGAGUGGCUGCGCAUUAACAAGACUUGAAGAAUGUUCCCCAAUCAAGGAGAUUCACGUUUUAUCGAGAAUGAGAGAACGAGAACGGCAUUUGUCCUCGGGGCGAAUGUGUAAUGGGUGUGUUAUAGCAGGUUAGCUAGAUCUCAACCUAGACUAUGUGAGAUAAAUAAUCCCCAUAAAAUAUUUAAUCCUAUCAAGUCAGUCUUGUCAUGCCUCUUAUGUUUUUCUUUCCCUCCCCACCGGAAUCUGGCAGAUUCAUUUAGCGGAGCUUAAAGUUGUCAAUGUCCUGGGAAGACAUGAAGGCAUAAUAAUGUCCCCUGAAAAUGUAAAGUGCACAACGUGUUUGAUCAGUUAAACAAUAAAUUUCAUUCUGAAAUCAUCAGAGGUGAUUUGAAAAGGCUGUUAGGAUCUUGGCUUAGAUUCCCUUGCCUCUAUACGCUGUCAACAGUUGAGCAGAUUUCAGCAUAAUCUUCGCAUUAUGCCUUUUUGUUUACCUCAGGAACUGAAUUAUUUGCUGACUUGAAUAAAUGGAUCCAGCUUAUUGUGUGGUA